CAGAUUACUCAAAGGACAAGAUCUUGCAGGUGUUCUCCCUCCCUCCCUGAUCAAGUUACCUUAUCUCACGAAAAUUGAUGUCUCGCACAACUAUUUGAGUGGUACUAUUCCCCCUGAAUGGGCAUCUAUCAAACUGGAAUUUAUGUCUGUUAUGGUGAAUCGACUCUCUGGGACGAUUCCUAAAUACUUGGGA